AUUUCAUGCUGUAACAGCUAACUGUAAAACACGUAGUUCCUAAAUAAGAAGAAUGGCUACAGGAUGGUAAAUACGAGAUGGCAAUGUCACCUAAACAAAAUUCGCUCGGCGAAUGACAUCAGAAAGCAAAAUUCAUGCAUCGGAAUGUCAGAGUAUAUGAGUGGCGACGAUGCAGUGCGACAACGUCCCAAAUGUGAUUGAAUUUUUUUGUCUCCGCCUUGUUCAAUCUUUCAUCUGGGCGUUUUGAAGAGGUAUGUACUCACUUCAAAUAUAAAUACUUGCACCACCUUCGGGCAGACGUCGAAUUGAAAUUAGCGAUAAGAAUAGCACUCAAUAUACAUCGGAUUGUCUUAAAAAACAUUUUACCGAGAAAGAAAAGUAUAGUAAGUACUAAGUUCUGACGAAAAUGAUUUUAUGAAAAGUAUUGCAAAAAUAUAUGGUAACUGUAAUCGAAAAAAA